CACCUGCCUCGGCAUCCCAAAGUGCUGGGAUUACAGGCCUGAGCCACCACACCCAGCCAGGACUGAACGUGAUUUUCAGACCUGGUCUACACCUCUCUGAGCCUCAUUCCCUUCAUCGGUAGUGUGGAGGUAAUAGUCAUCCUCACAUCAGGGCUGAACGCUGUCUUUCUGCAGCUCAGGCAUCGGUGGAUACCCAGGAAAUGGAAGACCAAAGUCAAAAUAGUUGAGUAACACACGGCACUUACUAUGUUGUAAGUGUUUUAGAGACUUCCACGAUUUCAUCCUCACAACAUGAUGCUCAGGGACAUGGGGCCAGGUCCACAGCCCGAGAAGAAUUCCCACAUGUCACUGGAGAAACCCAGUGGGAGGUGACUGAAUGAUGGAGGUGGAUCAUUCAUGUGCUGCUCUUGUGAUAGUGAAUGAGUCUCAGAAGAUCUCAUGGUUUUAAAAACAGGAGUUUCCCUGCACA